AUUGAACGCUGGCGGCAGGCCUAACACAUGCAAGUCGAGCGGAGCGGCGGACGGGUGAGUGAUGCCUAGGAAUCUGCCUGGUCGUGGGGGAUAACGUACGGAAACGGGCGCUAAUACCGCAUACUAUCAGAUGAGCCUCGGUCGGAUUAGCUAGUGGGGGGGGUAAAGGCCUACCAAGGCGACGAUCCGGAACUGGUCUGAGAGGAUGAUCAGUCACACUGGAACUGGGACACGGUCAAGACUCCUACGGGAGGCAGCAGUGGGGAAUAUUGGACAAGGGGCGAAAGCCUGAUCCAGCCAUGCCGCGUGUGUGAAGAAGGUCUGCGGAUUGUAAAGCACUUUAAGUUGGGAGGCGUUACUAACAGAAUAAGCACCGGCUAACUUCGUGCCAGCAGCCGCGGUAAUUC
rnacentral:rRNA from 1 species